CGGUAACCAGCUCCUCGAGUGUCGGGCGAUAUGGGCCUAAAGCAUCCGUACCGGUCCGUAGUCUCCGCUAAAUCCAGUCGUCAACGAUUGGUCCGCAGGAGAUACCGCNGGGACUAGGAGGCGGGAGAANGGUGGACGGUACUCCACGUGUUUAAAGGGUAAAUCCUUUGGAANNUCCCGGNUUGGAAGACCCCAANCCAGUGCGAAGCGGUCCACCAGACGCGCUCGACGUGAGGGAUGAAAGCUGGGGGACGAACCGGAUUAGAUACCCNGGGUAGUCCCAGCCGUAAACGAUGCUAGCUAGAUGAUCCAGUCGCAAAUCGCGAUUGGAGUGUCGCAGGGAAGCCGUUAAGUACCGCUGGAGUACGUCGCAAGACUGAUAAAGAGCGGGGCACCACAAGGGUGAACCUCGGUUCAAUGAUCA
rnacentral:rRNA from 1 species